ACCCCCCAGAGCCGAAAACUUGGUCAAACUCGGUCAUUUAGAGGAAGUAAAAGUCGUAACAAGGUUUCCGUAGGUGAACCUGCGGAAGGAUCAUUACCGAGUGAGGGCCCUCUGGGUCCAACCUCCCACCCGUGUUUAUUUUACCUUGUUGCUUCGGCGGGCCCGCCUUAACUGGCCGCCGGGGGGCUUACGCCCCCGGGCCCGCGCCCGCCGAAGACACCCUCGAACUCUGUCUGAAGAUUGAAGUCUGAGUGAAAAUAUAAAUUAUUUAAAACUUUCAACAACGGAUCUCUUGGUUCCGGCAUCGAUGAAGAACGCAGCGAAAUGCGAUACGUAAUGUGAAUUGCAAAUUCAGUGAAUCAUCGAGUCUUUGAACGCACAUUGCGCCCCCUGGUAUUCCGGGGGGCAUGCCUGUCCGAGCGUCAUUGCUGCCCUCAAGCCCGGCUUGUGUGUUGGGCCCCGUCCCCCGAUCUCCGGGGGACGGGCCCGAAAGGCAGCGGCGGCACCGCGUCCGGUCCUCGAGCGUAUGGGGCUUUGUCACCCGCUCUGUAGGCCCGGCCGGCGCUUGCCGAUCAACCCAAAUUUUUAUCCAGGUUGACCUCGGAUCAGGUAGGGAUACCCGCUGAACUUAAGCAUAUCAAUAAGCGGAGGAAAAGAAACCAACAGGGAUUGCCCCAGUAACGGCGAGUGAAGCGGCAAGAGCUCAAAUUUGAAAGCUGGCUCCUUCGGGGUCCGCAUUGUAAUUUGCAGAGGAUGCCUCGGGAGCGGUCCCCAUCUUAUUUGGGA
rnacentral:rRNA from 1 species